rnacentral:rRNA from 1 species
ACGUAGGGUGCGAGCGUUAAUCGGAAUUACUGGGCUUAAAGCGUGCGCAGGCGGUUGUGCAAGACAGGUGUGAAAUCCCCGGGCUUAACCUGGGAACUGCAUUUGUGACUGCACAGCUAGAGUUUGUCAGAGGGGGGUGGAAUUCCACGUGUAGCAGUGAAAUGCGUAGAGAUGUGGAAGAACACCGAUGGCGAAGGCAGCCCCCUGGGAUGAGACUGACGCUCAUGCACGAAAGCGUGGGGAGCAAACAGGAUUAGAUACCCUGGUAGUCCACGCCCUAAACGAUGUCGACUAGUUGUCGGGGGGUAACACCCUUGGUAACGCAGCUAACGCGUGAAGUCGACCGCCUGGGGAGUACGGUCGCAAGAUUA